GUGAGGAAUAUUGGACAAUGGAUGGAAAUCUGAUCCAGCCAUGCCGCGUGCAGGAAGACGGCCCUAUGGGUUGUAAACUGCUUUUAUACGGGAGCAAUAAGGUCUAUGCAUAGAUUGAUGAGAGUACCGUAUGAAUAAGCAUCGGCUAACUCCGUGCCAGCAGCCGCGGUAAUACGGAGGAUGCGAGCGUUAUCCGGAUUUAUUGGGUUUAAAGGGUGCGUAGGCGGCUUUGUAAGUCAGCGGUGAAAUUUUGCAGCUUAACUGUAAAAGCGCCGUUGAUACUGUGAAGCUAGGAUUUGGUUGCUGUGGGCGGAAUGUGUGGUGUAGCGGUGAAAUGCAUAGAGAUCACACAGAAUAUCGAUUGCGAAGGCAGCUCACAAAGCCAAUAUUGACGCUGAGGCACGAAAGUGUGGGGAUCAAACAGGAUUAGAAACCCUAGUAGUCC
rnacentral:rRNA from 1 species